UCAAAGUGGAGCUCAGGAUGGAGCAGCUGAUCGAGAGGACCACCAGAGACAAGGAAGCAUUGGGUCAGAGGCAGUUGGUGUGUGUCCUGGGCCAUGAAGAGGAAGAAUAGCAUCUGGGGUUGUGGAAGGUGUUUGCGAAUUAAAGGCUUGGUUUGUACCCAGUGGCAGUUGUCUGCUUGUUGGCUGUGCUUAUUUUGCAAUGCACCAACUGAUUUAGAGGCUGCGCAGAGAC